UACGUACUCCCUCCGUUUCAAAAUUCUUGUCUUAGAUUUGUUUAGAUAUAAAUGUAUCUAGUAACGUUUUAGUAUUUAGAUACAUCCAUUCCUAGACAAACUUAAAACAAGAAUUUUGGAAUGGAGGGAGUAGUUG
rnacentral:pre_miRNA from 1 species